rnacentral:rRNA from 1 species
UACCUUCACAGAGGAUANCCAGAGAAAUUUGGAUUAAUACCUCAUAGUAUAGCAGUUUCGCAUGAACCACUAUUAAAGUUCCAACGGUGAAAGAUGAGCAUGCGUCCCAUUAGCUAGAUGGUAAGGUAACGGCUUACCAUGGCUACGAUGGGUAGGGGUCCUGAGAGGGAGAUCCCCCACACUGGUACUGAGACACGGACCAGACUCCUACGGGAGGCAGCAGUGAGGAAUAUUGGUCAAUGGACGCAAGUCUGAACCAGCCAUGCCGCGUGCAGGAUGACGGUCCUAUGGAUUGUAAACUGCUUUUGUACGAGAAGAAACAACAUUACGUGUAAUGUCUUGACGGUAUCGUAAGAAUAAGGAUCGGCUAACUCCGUG